GAGUUGAUAAUUGUGGCGCGCCCAAAGUACCCAACUGAGUUGAUAACAAGUCCACUUCUCACUUUGCACAGUCUCGAAUUUAUUUGACCCUAAAAAAAAAAAAAGGAAAAAAAAAGGAAAAAGUCUCAAACUUCAAACGCCAAUGAACAAAGACACAUGGAUCUCCAAAUCCAGCAAGACUUCAAAUACUUGAAUCAAUCCCACUCAAGAAGAAGAAGAAAAGCUUAAACCUGGCUCCUGAUAUCUGGAAACGCCUCUUCCCUCCACGAAGAACCAGAAGGCCAAUCUUCCCUCUCCAAUUUCCAACCGGGAUAGUUCGGCCAUUGCCAAUCAAUCCCAGAAUGGAGAUAAACCUGUUCAAGUUAUGCUCCGGCCUCAA
rnacentral:lncRNA from 1 species